CAACCUCCACCCCCAAAACCUAGAGCCAAGAGCCAUGGAGAGACUGUUUCACUUCUCCAGACUUUUCACUCCACGCCACCCAGCAGGUUUGAGCACCGCCUUCCAAAUAAACCUGGUCUAGAGCAGGCAACAUUAGUCCCAGGGCUGGACGGAGGCCACCGUCUGCUCAUCGCUGAUUCCCAAGGCCUGAGAGAGGGGCUGGAGGACGAUGAAGACCAAAUUAAUCUGGACACUGGGCUCCAGGGAAGGGCCUGAGCUCCAAGGUCAAUACCAAAGCACUGGAUCUUCAUGAUGCUUUUCAAGCGUUUUCUUCAGCCUGCGGGUUGAGGACUUUAAGCCAGUUAGGGAUCAUCUUAAAGUUUAAAGAGUAGGCUAUAGAUUUCCACAUUAAGGACGCUCAGGAGGAUCACCCAAGCUCGGAACCCUCAGGAUCAAGGCCUCCUCAGGCAAGACAGUAAGAGUCCAGUGGAGGGCUUCCCUGGUGGCGCAGUGGUUGGGAGUCCGCCUGCCG